rfam:Hymenolepis nana genome assembly, scaffold: HNAJ_contig0003404
AUAAAGGAUUUUCUACAAAUCCACAAAAUAGUAAAUUUAAAGCUCUAU